UUGUAUUAGGUUGGUGCAAAAGUGAUUGCGGUUUUUGCCAUUAUUUUCAAUGGCAAAAACCGCAAUCACCUUUGUGUCAGCCUAAUAGAUU
rnacentral:miRNA from 1 species